rnacentral:tRNA from 7 species
GUGUCCGUAGCUCAAUUUGGCAGAGCUCCAGAUUGUGGCUCUGGUGGUUGUCGGUUCGAGUCCGGCCGGACACC